AGGCGUAUGGAUGGUAAUUGGUUUAUUAAAUCGUUUAGUUAACGAAUAUCGAAUCUCAGGGUUUGUUGUGAUUGUUCUUUCAUUCUGAAGGGAUAGUGACACGGGGAAAAAGGAGAAAAAUUUACAAAUAUGAACACGAGCUGGGAAUGUGUAAAAAAAAGCUAUUUCAAAUGGAGUGCUAACGGUGUUACAUGAUCCUGUCCAUUUCCCUUUCGAGCACACGAAUAGAAAUCGAGAUUUCGCGUGAUUGAAUUUAUAGCCGAAAGCGAGAGAGAGACAAUCAAAAACCUGGUCUGUAGGUGUUAAAUCGUACAAAAUGCGACAUCACGAAUUUUCGCCGCCUCUCGACGGUUCAUUUUCGUGAUUACAAUGCCGCGUCGAAUCUCGACCGAGCCAAGUUGUCGUCGUUGACUUCGUGCUUAUUUCCGAACAAUGCAAUUCGAUUAAAAGCGCGUUUCGUGCCUACAUCAGCUCGCGAGGAGUUCUCCGAGUUCUGUCUCGUCAAUGUACAUAUCUUGUCUUUAUUUCUCUAUCGUGUCGGUCUCAGAGAAAUUAUUAAUUAAUCCGCAGACGGAUCGAUGAUUCAAGCAUGAGACCGUCGAAGCACGAAACGUUUGACCAAGAGUUUUCGAAAAAGUAUGCAAGUCGAUAUUUAAACUGGUACAAUAAAGGAAUUUAAUUAAAGUCAAACGUUCUGGCGUCGGUAAUUCUACUCGUAUUCCGACGCCCGUUACGACACGCGUUACGGGAAAAAUUCAUCGCGAAUAAUGGGGAAACGUAAUUAAAAUGCGGGAAAGAUGUGUUUUAAUUAGCCAAUCGAAGCAACAUGACCGAAAUAUGAUCUUUGUGCGAAAUGUUCCAAUCUAGACCGUGACUUUUGCGCGAGAUUUCCAUUCGUCGAGGUUCGAUCGAUGGGAAAUGGAGAGGGACAAAAACAUCGAUGUCGAAGAAUUUCGUGACACGUUAAUUAGAGUAGCAGUAGCAGUUGGAGUAGUUACGAGUAGUCAGGCUAGGAUCGUCUAAUUCCGAACGAGAGAACCUUGAGAUUUAAACUUUUCUCGAUUUUCUAUUUCUAUUGAGUUCGCGUGAAAUA
rnacentral:misc_RNA from 1 species